AGAAUGGUUCAAACAAACUCUCCAUUCCACAUAUUGAGCCAUUCAAUAUAUCGGUUUCUUCGCGGCUUCCACCAUCGACGUGGUUUCUGAUUGCCGAUGGAAAGAAAAGUUCGACUCCUUUCUUCAAUGGCUGAAACUUACAGCUUGUUGGGUCACAAUUGCAACAACUUUAGUAAUGAGGUUGAUCAGCCUUUGGUUGGCUCGACCAUCCCUGAGUAUAUUCUUCAGCUUCCCAGCGAAGUUAGCAGCAGUCCCGUCGGUAGACUCCUGCGUAAGUCGGGAUAGAGAUAACAAUCAUAGAUUCUUUUUAGUCGAUACAUCUAUUAUAUUAUUCGUGGUAAUGUUCGUUGUAUUGACCGUGUCGAUGAUUCAAAACCUCAAAACAAUGUUAAGAUCU